rnacentral:rRNA from 1 species
UACGUAGGGGGCAAGCGUUGUCCGGAUUUACUGGGCGUAAAGAGCGUGUAGGCGGCCAAACAGGUCCGUUGUGAAAACUGGAGGCUUAACCUCCAGACGUCGACGGAAACCGUAUGGCUAGAGUCCGGAAGAGGAGAGUGGAAUUCCUGGUGUAGCGGUGAAAUGCGCAGAUAUCAGGAAGAACACCCGUGGCUAAGGCGGCUCUCUAGUACGGUACUGACGCUGAGACGCGAAAGCGUGGGGAGCGAGCAGG